rnacentral:rRNA from 1 species
GGCGUGGAUAAGACAUGCAAGUCGAACGGGAUAUUAUUUGUAGCAAUACAAGUGAUGUCCAGUGGCGUAAGGGUGCGUAACACGUGGGCAAUCUGCCGAAAAGUGGGGGAUAGCUCGCCGAAAGGCGAAUUAAUACCGCACGUGGCUUGUGAAGACAUCUUCACUGUGCCAAAGCCGGGGACCUAGCAAUAGGCCUGGCGCUUUUUGAUGAGCCCGCGGCCUAUCAGCUUGUUGGUGAGGUAACGGCUCACCAAGGCUAUGACGGGUAGCUGGUCUGAGAGGACGACCAGCCACACUGGAACUGAGACACGGUCCAGACACCUACGGGUGGCAGCAGUCGAGAAUUUUUCUCAAUGGGGGAAACCCUGAAGGAGCGACGCCGCGUGGAGGAUGAAGGUCUUCGGAUUUAAAGGCCUGUCAUUAGGGAACAAUU